UGAUUCCUUCCUGGUAGCAAAGCCGAAAGACAGAAGAGGCCGACGUCACCGACGUGCAAUUCCAGGAUUUUAGGCCAGCUGCGUAGCCUGGAGGCGGGUCUGCAGCACAAACCCUUCCCCCAGUUCUUCCCCCGCACCCCCCUCCCCCGCAAAUCCGUAGGGAAGCGGUAGAAAAGGGGAAGGCGCCCCAGUGUUGAUCCCCUAGGACUCUGGUGGCGCGCGGUGGGGGCGGAGUCUGUUGCCAGGGCAACCCGCGGUGGCGGGCCCUGGGUCCAUCUUUCCUUUUUUUCCCCCCGGUUCGCUCUGUGUGCUCGGCUUUCCUCACUCUAGUUGCCAGAAGAAUGCACACACCACGUCAUCGUUCUGCUUCCUCUUCUCUCCUUAGUUUGCUUGUUUCUCCAAGGUCUGAAUCUCUCCCUACGCGAUCAGGUUGACCUCUGUCAUUUCCCCGGCUUACUCACAUCCCGGAUGCCUCCAGCCAGUCUUGAUGCCUUGGCCGGUGUGAUAGGCAGUCUCCCGAUUUCUCCUUUAGGUCCACACUUCCCAAGCGAGGAGUUUGUACUUCCCUUUCCUGCCGAUGAGCGGCCACAGCUGGAUUCUGAGCCCAACCUGUUUUUUGGAGAGAUUGAUCUGGCACCGGUGGCGUGCGUGGGGUGGGGAAACAGCCAAAGGCAGGGAGGCCACUUGGGAAGCCCCUAGAGAUAACGGUGGCCCAAAUGAAGACAACGCAGUGGGAAUUGCUGGGGCGGGGAUGCCAGGAAGAGGCAGAGAGAAGCCCAGGGAAUGCAGAGUCUGGGAUGGCUCGUGGUCCUGAGGAGGGACACACAGAGAUUUGGGAGGUGAAUCUCAUUAUCCCCUUGAAUUCAGGUAUUCUGAUUCAAAAGCUGAUGCACUCCACCCCCCCUCCCCCACUGCCCCAUCACAAACUCUAGGAAUAAACUCCUAUGAAGGACGUCUGACUGUUAGCCGUGGUGUAAUUUAGGGUAAAAACAGUGGUGGCUAUAACAGAGUAGGUGGGAUCUUUUCCGUCCUCCAGACACACCCUCCACCCUUCUCCAUCAUUCUCCGUGGAGUAGGCUGACCUUUAUGCACUGAAUCAGGAGUCUCUCUGGUCAGGGCACCUGGGUGGCUGAGUAGGUUAGGUGUCCGACUUGGGCUCAGGUCAUGAUCUCACCCUUCAUGGGUUUGACCCCACAUUGGGCUCCGUGCUGACAGCUCGGAGCCUGGAGCCUGCUUCGGAUUCUGUGUCUCCCUCUUUCUGCCCCUUCCCUGCUCACGCUCUGUCUCUCUCCCUCAAAAAAUAAAUGAACAUUAAGAAAAAAUGAAAAAAAGAAAGGAGUCUCCCUGGUCCUCUCUACCCGGGACUCCUCUACCAGACAGCUGCUGUCAUCUGGCCUUUCUUUCUUUCUAUUUUUUUAAAAUAUUUAUUCAUUUUUUUGAGAGACAGAGCGCGAGUGUGGGAGGGCCAGAGAGAGAGAGGGAGACACAGAAUCUGAAGCAGGCUCCAGGUUUUGAGCUGUCAGCAAAGAGCCCGAUGUGGGGCUCGAAUUCAUGAACCAUGAGAUCAUAACCUGAGCCAAAGUCGGACCUCAGGCAACAGAGCCAUGCAGGCGCCCCUAGAACAUUUUUACCACCCUCCCAAAAGACACCAUACCCAUCAGCACUCCUUCCCCAUUCCCCUUUCCCCCCACUACUUGGUGGCCACUAAUGUAUUUUCUAUCUCUACGGAUUUGCUUACACUGGGCGUUUCAUACAAAUAGAACCAUGUGAUCUGUGCUCCUGUUGGACUGGUUUCUUUCAGUGCACAUGUUUUCGAGGUUCGUCUGUGUUGUAGCAUGUGUCAGUACAUCAUUCUUUUUUUUUUUUUUUUUAAUGUCUACCUGUUUUCGAGAGAGAGAGAGAGACAGAGCGCGAGCAGUGGAGGGGCAGAGAGAGAGUGAGACAUAGAAUCUGAAGCAGGCUCUGAGCUGUCAGCACAGAGCCCGAUGCCGGAAGUCGGUCACUUAACCAACUGAGUCACCCAAGUGGCCCAGCACAUCAUUCUUUUUUACAGCCAAAUAUUUCUCUGUAUGUACAUGCCACAUUUUAUCUGUCCAUUCAUCAGUUGAUGGAUAUUUGGGUUGUUUCCCCUUGGGGGCUAAUUAUGAAUAAUAUUGCUAUGCACAUUCCUGCAUACAUUUUUGUUUGAAUAGCUGCCUUCUCUUCCCUUGGGUAUAUUCAUAGGAGUCGAAUUGCUGAACCAUCUGAUAACUCUAUGAAUAACUUCUUGAAAAACUGCCAUUGUUUUAUAGUAAUGUCACCAUUUUACAUUCUCCACGGCAGUGUAUGAGGGUUCUAGCUUCUUCACACCCUCACUAACUCUGUCAUUUUUUCCUUCCUUCCUUCCUCCCUUCUUCCCUUCCUCUCCCCCCCCCCCCCCCCCCUUUCAAUUUAGAAAUCCUACUGAGUAUGAAGAGGUAUCUCACUACAGUUUUGAUUUGCAUUUCCUAAAUGAUUAAUAAUGUUGAGCCUGCGUUUAUUCUGGAGAAGUGUUCAGUCAAAUCCCUUGCCCAAUUUUUCAGUUGGGUUGCCCUUUUGUUGUUGAAUUAUGACAGUUCUUUAUAUAUUCUGGAUCCUAGACCCUUACCAGAUUUGUGAUUUACAAACAUUUCUACCAUUGUAUCAUUUCACUUUCUGGAUGAUGUCCUCUGACACACAAAUGUUCUUAAUUUCAGUGAUGUUCGCCUUGUCUAUAUUUUUCUUUGGUUGUUUGUACUUUUGGUGUCAAAACUAAGAAACCCAUAUCUAAUCAAAAGUCACAAAGAUUUACACAUGUAUUUUCUUCAGAGAG